CACGUAGGAGGCAAACGUUAUCCGGAUUUACUGGGCGUAAAGCGCGUGUAGGUGGUUCUGUAAGUAGGGCGUGAAAGCUCCCGGCUCAACUGGGAGAUGCCGUUCUAAACUGCAGAGCUUGAGGAUGGUAGAGGGAGGUGGAAUUCCAGGUGUAGCGGUGGAAUGCGCAGAUAUCUGGAGGAACACCAGUGGCGAAGGCGGCCUCCUGGACCAUUCCUGACACUCAGACGCGAAAGCUAGGGUAGCAAACGGGAUUAGAGACC
rnacentral:rRNA from 1 species